rfam:Loxodonta africana unplaced genomic scaffold scaffold_11, whole genome shotgun sequence.
GCCCUGGUGGCGUAGUGGUUAAGUGCUAUGGCUGCUAACCAUAAGGGUCGGCAGUUCAAAUCUGCCAGGUGCU